rnacentral:rRNA from 1 species
UACGUAGGGGGCAAGCGUUGUCCGGAUUUAUUGGGCGUAAAGAGCGUGUAGGCGGCCAGAUAGGUCCGUUGUGAAAACUCGAGGCUUAACCUCGAGCUGUCGGCGGAAACCAUCUGGCUAGAGUCCGGAAGAGGAGAAUGGAAUUCCCGGUGUAGCGGUGAAAUGCGCAGAUAUCGGGAAGAACACCCGUGGCGAAGGCGGUUCUCUGGGACGGUACUGACGCUGAGACGCGAAAGCGUGGGGAGCGAACAGG